rnacentral:rRNA from 1 species
UACCGGGUGGUUCGGAUUCUGCCCAUCGACCAGACUCUCCUACCAGUCGGUGUGACCUUGACUCUGUGCCAGGUCUGAGGAUGCCCUCCGUCGUCACCCCUUAGAACGCGUUACCCGCUUUCGGACUGCGUCGCUGCGGCGCACCCACUACUUCCGGAAGCCCAACAUUUCGGGACACCCCUCCCUUCUUAUUCAGCACCGAUUAUAGGUGCUACUACUGCCAUGGAGGAAUCGUUCGUGGCCGAUUGAGACACGGUCGUCGGCGCCAUUCUGUCUCCCACGCUUGCAACAAGCCUUAAUGACCCGCAUUUCGCGCACAUCCGCCGAACCAUUCAGUCCACACUUUCGGGAGCCGAGUUGGCCCCUUCACGUAAACUUUGACGGCUCGACCUCAGGGCCUCUCCUACCACCUUAAGAGCCACAUCUCCACUUUAAGCAUCUAUAGCUCUCCUUGUGGCCACCGCUUCCGCCGGUAGACCUGCCACUGACUGCGACUCUGCGCUUUCGCACCCCUCGUUUGUCCUAAUCUAUGGGACCAUCAGGUGCGGCAUUUGCUACCCACGAUCCACAGCGCCCGAAACUGGGGACGCCACGGCUUCGAUUGCGUAAUUCGUGGGGCG